AUCUCCAAAACGCAUCUAUGCAAUACAGCUGUCAUGGAUAAGGUGAGUAUCCGUUCUCCUUGACUGUUGGUAGUGUUGUCGAAAUAGAAAAAGAAGUUUGAAGAACACUGACCCCACAAUUCUUUGACAUCAGAAAAGAAAGAUUGGGCUUGCCUAAUGGUGGAUUGACUGUAAUGUGUCUAAUCAUAAUCUCAUAGAAGUGAGAAAGGAAUACGAAAAGAGAAGACAAACAUGGGGCAAAAGACAGAUUUGGAUGAGUCGGUCACAUUAAAUGAUUAUAUUAGCCUUGCAUAUUGCAACAUGAAAAGAUAACAGUGAUCAAUCCCACAACUCCUAACUCCCACAUACAAUACAAAAUUCACAGCAGUGCAAACACAGACUCAUGGACACACCAGAGGAGGGACCAGGCGCCAAGGAGGAGCAGCCAUCUCCUGUCAUCCAGUCACACCUGGUGCCCCACAUGGUGCAUGUAUAUCAGUACAUAAAAAGAUAUUUGGAGACUCAUUAUAAACUUUUAAAUUGCAAUGCAUUCUACAAUUAUUGUGCACACAUUAAUAAAGAUAUUGAACAUCUGCUGUAUGAUUAAGUUAAUGUAUAAAACAAAAUGUUUGGCUAUAAUGUUAUAUUACUGUAAAAGUGGUUAUAUUUACAUAUGGUAGUGAUACUGCAAAUACAUGUCUUUGCAUUCUACACAUUUCCUUUACUUUACAAUAGUAAGCAGUCUUGGUUACUGGGAGUGACAAGACCAACGGUCUGGUACAAUAAAUUCAUUACCAGACUGUUAACAGGCACUGUCCCUUGGUGCUCCUUGUAAUCAGGUCAACAUAUUGUGGGGGAGGGGGUUGUUUUGUUUUUUGUUUUGGUUUUUUUUUAUUCUUUCAUAUAAUGCUAUUAUUCUCUUUUAUAUAAGUAUUCACACGACACUAUCAUCUGCUAUCCCAGAAACUGUUAUGUGAGGCAGUUGGGUUAUUUUAUUUAUCAUGUUGUUGAUUUAAAUCUUGUCUGUAAUCAGUAUUUCAUAUAUAAUUAUAUAGAUAUGUGCAGUGCAGAAGUGUGAACUCUGUCAGUAUUACAGGUAGUACUUCUAAAUGAUUGUUAUUUAUUUUCAUUGUUAUAAUUAAUUGCCUGUUAACAUGUACAUGCCCC